ensembl:snoRNA SNORA71 Small nucleolar RNA SNORA71
CCCGGCAUUCAAAAGUGACUGUGGGCUGCCCGUGCCUGGUGGUCGUUAGUGCAGGGAGAAGACGUGGGAAGCCUUUUCCCAAGUUUGGGAGGUCACUCCUGUCUUUUCCAGACAGGGCUGUUUGCCUACA